CUUGUUCCUCACUAGUUCUCACGCUCUCUCUGUGAAGCUCAACCACAAACUCUCGACUGCUCUCUUCCACGUAGGUCGACGGAAUAACAACAUGUAGCAACUUCCUCUCUCAAUCUCUCGCAAACAAUCGGUAAGGGAAAAUCCUCCCCUUUUCCAUCGAUUUUGUUCGAAACAGUAACAACAACAGCGAAGCUUUUUUUCUCAAAUUCGUGAUGCUCUCUCUCUCUAUCGCGAUAUCUCACCUUCUCUCUCGCUCGAAAACUAAAAAACAACAACCAGCUUUCACUCGGUGCUCUGUAAACAAAAAAAAACGACUCCGGCUCUCAAUCUCACGGUGGUUCUAGCUUCUUUCUCUCAACAGCAAGAGCUUGUGUUUCUCCUUAAAAUCAUCACUAAUUCGUUUGUGUUUUGUGAAAGAACAAAGGUUUUCUUGACCCAAGAUAGUAUACAAGAAUAACAAUAACAACAAUAGUUAACAGCAAUUCUAAGAGUGGAAGUGGAAGCGACUUACUUGCGGCAAGGAGGAUUUCGCCGGAUUUUAUUGAGCUAUGCACAAUAAUAACAUAUUUGCAGCAAUGAUUUAAACAAUAAUAUUUGAGCAUGAGGAUGAAUACAACUUACCUACGACGAGGAGGUGUUCGCCGGUUUGAGG